CCUAUUCUUACCUUCUUUGAUGUUGGAACGGCUACUUUAGCUAGACACCCCCACACUCGUAAAUAUUUAUAGGAAGAUUUUCUUUCUUUCCAUAACUCAUAAGGAGUUUUUUCCAUUUUCUUUUGGGGCACCUUAUUUAAAAUGUAAUUUGCUGAUAACACAGCUUCCCCCCACAUGUUCUGAGGUAACCCAGAACUUACUAGCAUUGCAUUCAUCAUUUCCUUUAAAGUACGAUUUUUCUGUUCAAUAACACCAUUUUGUUGCGGUGAAUAAGGUGCGGUGGUUUCAUGUAUGAUUCCGUGUUGUGCACAGAAUUCCGUAAAUUGUGUUUCAUACUCACCACCUCGAUUGCUUCUUAACACUUUAAUUUUCUUAUUAAGUUGAGUUUCAACUUCACUCUUAUAGAGAACAAUUUUCUCUAUAGCUCCAUCUUUACUUUUUAGCAUAUACACAUAACAAUAUUUGGUACUAUCGUCGACACAAGUAAUGAUAUAUUUGUUAUCACAUCUUGUUUGUACGAGCUUUAAAUCACAUAUGUCGCUGUGAAUUAAAUCAAGUGGUUAUGUGUUCUGUUCAAUUCAUUUAAACGAUGAUCUUGUCAUUUUGUUUUAACACAAGUUUCACACUUAUGUUUUGAAUCGAUGUGAAAUUUGGGUAUGGAAUUCAAGUUAACUAGUCUUCAUAAAGUAUCAUAGUUAACAUGUCCUAAUCUACCAUGCCACAAAUUGGAAGACUCAAGUCAUUUUUGGUUUAACAACCAUUACAUUCAGCUUAAACAUAUCGUCGAAAACAUAUCCUUUUCCAACAAAUAUUUCACUUUUUGACAAAAUAACUUUGUUUGACUCAAAUACAAUGCGAAAACCAUGCUUAUUCAAAAGCAACUGGAACACUAGGUUCUUGCGAAUUUCUGGCACAUAUAGCACAUUGUUGAGAGUCGGCUCUUUUCCCGAGGUCAUUUUCAGAACCGCCUUUCCUUGUCCCUUGAUUUCAGAAGUUGCUGAAUUUGUCAUGAACUUCUCCCCAUUCUCAACUACCUCAAACGCAACAAACAGCUCCUUAUCAAAACACACAUACCUCGUAGCACCAGUGUCAAUCCAUCACUCCUUAGGAUUUGAACCCACCAUGUUCACUUCAGAAAUGACAGCUGAGAGAUUCAGUUCCGACACAUCUUGUGCCAUGUGGUCAACCACAUUUGCUUCUUUCUUCUUCUUUGACAAUCUGCACUCUGAAGACUUAUGGCCCACUUUGUCAUAAUUGAAGCAUUUUCCUUGAAAUUACUUCUUAGAAAUUUCACCUUUCGAUCCUUGCUUGAUCCUUUUGCCACCGGAUGGUCCAGACUUGUUUUUAUAGUUCUUACUACUUCGAUCAUACUCCACAACAUUAGCUUUAGCAGCACCAGGAUUGAACCACUUUUUUCCGGAACUUUACUCUUGUUAUCUUCUUCAAUUUGAAGUCUAACAAUUAGUUCUUCGACGUUCAUUUCCUUUCGCACGUGCUUCAAAUAAUUCUUGAAAUUUUUCCUUACCGAAGAGGGGGGAAUUUUUCAAUAAUUGCAGCCACUUGAAAUGUUUCACUCAAAAUUAUCCAUUCAGCAUGAAUUUCAUGAAGAAUCACUUGGAGUUCUUGCACUUGAUUGAUAACUGUUUUGAAGUCCACCAUUUUAUAAUCUAAGAAUCUGCUAAAAAUGAACUUUUUAGCCCCGACAUCCUCGAUUUUAUAUUUUCAGUCCAAAAACUCCCAUAACUCUUUAACAGUUUUCAUAGAACUAUACACAUUGUAUAGCGUGCCUGCUAAACUAUUCAUAAUGUAGUUUUGGCACAAAAAAUUCGAAUGGUUCCAAGCAUCAAGUGCACGGAUUGCUUUAACAUCUCCCUCACCCUCAUUGAGUUUUGGAGCAGUCUCGGUCAAGAAUCUCAUAAAAUUCAAAGUGGUCAGAUAAAAUAACAUUUUCUGCUACCACCUUUUGAAAUUAUAGCCAUUGAAUUUCUUCGAUUUUUCGCCAUGAUUAACCAGAACAUUAACGGUAUGAUCAGUUGUUGGAGCCACUGUUUGACUCACAACAUGACUUGAUAAUUUAACCACGGUCUGAGCCACAACAGAGCUUGGCCCUUGAGCCACAGCUGAGCCCAUAGCCUGAUUUUCAGUAUGCACACUUUGGGUCACGUCCAUGUUGGUCGAUUCGGUUGCCAUUUCUGAAAAUCAAACAAAAAAAAUUAGUUUUCAAAAUUAACAAUAUAAGAAACCAAUUUUUUUCUUUACGAUUCUGUUUUAAAUUUGUUGGAAUAUAGUGGUGUUAAUGAAAUUGGAUUAUCGCAUACCAUAUAUGAAGUUUAGAUACCGAUUUUAAGCAUACCAUAUAUGCAGCUUACCGUAUUUACAGGAAGCUUACCGUAUACCGUAUUUGCAGGCAACUUACCUUAUUUGCAACUUACUGUAUUUGACAGCUCACCGUAUAUGGCAGUGCAGCUCAUCGUAUAUGGCAAUGAAGCUCACCGUAUAUGCAUAAAAUUAACACAAACUAUUUUUAUUAAAAUAACACAAAUUUUUUUUCAACAGAAAAAUCGUAUAUGUAAUAUACAUACAUACAUACAUAUAUAUAUACACACACACCAAAGAGAGAGGGGGUCCUGAAAAAAGGUUAGUAUUUCAAGGAUUAUAAGAAUAAGAAGGUUAUAA
rnacentral:lncRNA from 1 species